rnacentral:rRNA from 1 species
GACGAACGCUGGCGGCGCGCCUAACACAUGCAAGUCGAACGGAGCUGAGAGAAGCUUGCUUUUCUUAGCUUAGUGGCGCACGGGUGAGUAACGCGUGUGUAACCUGCUCUGGAGUGGGGGACAACAGGUGGAAACGACUGCUAAUACCGCAUAAGCCCACGAUCCGGCAUCGGAUUGAGGGAAAAGGAUUUAUUCGCUUCAGGAUGGACUCGCGUCCACUUAGCUAGUUGGUGAGGUAACGCCACACCAAGGCGACGAUGGCUAGCCGGACUGAGAGGUUGACCGGCCACAUUGGGACUGAGACACGGCCCAGACUCCUACGGGAGGCAGCAGUGGGGGAUAUUGCACAAGGGAGGAAACCCUGAUGCAGCGGCGCCGCGUGGAGGAAGAAGGGGUUCGGAUUGUAAACUCCUGUCGUAAGGGACGAUAAUGACGGUACCUAACAAGAAAGCACCGGCUAACUACGUG